rnacentral:rRNA from 1 species
GACGAACGCUGGCGGCGUGCUUAACACAUGCCAGUCGAACGGAAAGGCCCUGCUUUUGUGGGGUGCUCGAGUGGCGAACAGGUGAGUAACACGUGAGUAACCUGCCCUUGACUUUGGGAUAACUUCAGGAAACUGAGGCUAAUACCGGAUAGGAGCUCCUGCUGCAUGGUGGGGGUUGGAAAGUUUCGGCGGUUGGGGAUGGACUCGCGGCUUAUCAGCUUGUUGGUGGGGUAGUGGCUUACCAAGGCUUUGACGGGUAGCCGGCCUGAGAGGGUGACCGGCCACAUUGGGACUGAGAUACGGCCCAGACUCCUACGGGAGGCAGCAGUGGGGAAUAUUGCACAAUGGGCGGAAGCCUGAUGCAGCAACGCCGCGUGCGGGAUGACGGCCUUCGGGUUGUAAACCGCUUUCGCCUGUGACGAAGCGUGAGUGACGGUAAUGGGUAAAGAAGCACCGGCUAACUACGUG